CAAUGAAUUACACCAAGGCUCUCAUAACCCUAGUUAUGAGAGCUUUAGACACACAUAAUUAUGGAGAAGAAAUUCAAAAUAUAUUUCAUAAAUAACUCAGAAAUACUUACAAAAUAUAAGAUGAUUUUCAAAUCCCAAAUCACUAGUGAAAAGUAGUGUAAUCCCUAGACUUCCAAAUUGUUUCUCAGUGAAUUCAUUUUUACAAAUUGGGACACUACCCAAAGAUACCUAAUCUAACCCUAAGCUAGGUAUUUAUAGGCUCUUAGAAAGUGGGGGUUUAAAAUUCAAAACCAGGUUGCCGUGUCAUUGGUUGAUGGUUGAACUGAUGGUCCAUCGUAGGAGUGACGGUCCAUUGGUCAUGCCAUCAAAUUUAGUCAGAUCUAGAUUGAAGCUAUUUUGUCUCCUUGAAGGUAAAAAUGAUGGUAAGUAAAGGACUUGACGGUCCGUCAGACUGGCUAUUAGUGAGCUCUUCAAUUUUAUUGAUUCUAUUUAUGUGUGAUGAUCGUAGUGGUGGUCUAUCACACGUCUGACAUUGGUCUAUCUAAGAAUCAUGGAUCCCAGUACUUAUUGCAUUCUAUCUGAUGGGUGAUGAUCUUACUGAUGGUUUGCCUCUGAAUUAAUAACCCAUCAUUUCAUCCAUCACGUGCAAUCAGUAUUUAAUUUUCCAAGUUUUUCUUGCUUUUGACAACAUUUCUUGAGAAC
rnacentral:lncRNA from 1 species